UACGUAGGGUGCAAGCGUUGUCCGGAAUUAUUGGGCGUAAAGAGCUCGUAGGCGGUUCGUCGCGUCGGCUGUGAAAUCCCGGAGCUCAACUCCGGGUCUGCAGUCGAUACGGGCAGACUGGAGUUCGGCAGGGGAGACUGGAAUUCCUGGUGUAGCGGUGAAAUGCGCAGAUAUCAGGAGGAACACCGGUGGCGAAGGCGGGUCUCUGGGCCGAUACUGACGCUGAGGAGCGAAAGCGUGGGGAGCGAACAGG
rnacentral:rRNA from 1 species